GGCCUGAUAGCACAACGGUUAGUGCGCCUGCGUACUGUGUUCAUGUAUAAUUUACUGAAUCAGGAGAUCCCCGUUCGACUCGGGUCAGGCCA